AGACCCGAAACCCGGUGAUCUAGCCAUGGGCAGGUUGAAGGUUGGGUAACACUAACUGGAGGACCGAACCGACUAAUGUUGAAAAAUUAGCGGAUGACUUGUGGCUGGGGGUGAAAGGCCAAUCAAACCGGGAGAUAGCUGGUUCUCCCCGAAAGCUAUUUAGGUAGCGCCUCGUGAAUUCAUCUCCGGGGGUAGAGCACUGUUUCGGCAAGGGGGUCAUCCCGACUUACCAACCCGAUGCAAACUGCGAAUACCGGAGAAUGUUAUCACGGGAGACACACGGCGGGUGCUAACGUCCGUCGUGAAGAGGGAAACAACCCAGACCGCCAGCUAAGGUCCCAAAGUCAUGGUUAAGUGGGAAACGAUGUGGGAAGGCCCAGACAGCCAGGAUGUUGGCUUAGAAGCAGCCAUCAUUUAAAGAAAGCGUAAUAGCUCACUGGUCGAGUCGGCCUGCGCGGAAGAUGUAACGGGGCUAAACCAUGCACCGAAGCUGCGGCAGCGACACUGUGU
rnacentral:rRNA from 2 species